rnacentral:rRNA from 1 species
GAUGAACGCUGGCGGCGUGCCUAAUACAUGCAAGUCGAGCGAACAGACGAGGAGCUUGCUCCUUCGACGUUAGCGGCGGACGGGUGAGUAACACGUAGGUAACCUACCUAUAAGACUGGGAUAACUUCGGGAAACCGGAGCUAAUACCGGAUAAUAUUUCGAACCGCAUGGUUCGAUAGUGAAAGAUGGCUUUGCUAUCACUUAUAGAUGGACCUGCGCCGUAUUAGCUAGUUGGUAAGGUAACGGCUUACCAAGGCAACGAUACGUAGCCGACCUGAGAGGGUGAUCGGCCACACUGGAACUGAGACACAGUCCAGACUCCUACGGGAGGCAGCAGUAGGGAAUCUUCCGCAAUGGGGGAAAGCCUGACGGAGCAACGCCGCGUGAGUGAUGAAGGUCUUCGGAUCGGAAAACUCUGUUAUUAGGGAAGAACAAACGUGUAAGUAACUGUGCACAUCUUGACGGUACCUGAUCAGAAAGCCACGGCUAACUACGUG